rnacentral:rRNA from 1 species
CAGGACGAACGCUGGCGGCGUGCCUAAUACAUGCAAGUCGAACGGUCUUUCUAUGGAAGCUUGCUUCCACUGAGAAGAUAGUGGCGAACGGGUGAGUAACACGUGGGUAACCUGCCCAUAAGAGGGGGAUAACAUCCGGAAACGGGUGCUAAUACCGCAUAGUUUUCUUGAUCGCAUGAUCGGGAAAGGAAAGACGGCCUUUGUGCUGUCGCUUAUGGAUGGACCCGCGGCGUAUUAGUUAGUUGGUGAGGUAACGGCUCACCAAGACGAUGAUACGUAGCCGACCUGAGAGGGUGAUCGGCCACAUUGGGACUGAGACACGGCCCAAACUCCUACGGGAGGCAGCAGUAGGGAAUCUUCCGCAAUGGACGAAAGUCUGACGGAGCAACGCCGCGUGAGUGAAGAAAGGGUUUUCGGAUCGUAAAACUCUGUUGUCAGAGAAGAACAAGUUGGAGAGUAACUGCUCCAGCCUUGACGGUAUCUGACCAGAAAGCCACGGCUAACUACGUGCCAGCAGCCGC